rnacentral:rRNA from 1 species
ACCAAAAAUGCCUCUAGGAAGUCAAGUAGUGCCCGUACCGUAAACCGACACAGGUAGGCAGGGAGAGAAUCCCAAGGUCCGCGAGAGAACCCUCGUUAAGGAAUUCGGCAAAUUAGCCCAGUAACUUCGGAAGAAGGGGUGCCUUUUGGCGUGGCGCAUUUUACAUGACGAGCGCCGAGAGGCCGCAGUGAAAGGGCUCGGGCGACUGUUUACCAAAAACACAGGUCUCUGCUAAAGCGAGAGCUUAAGUAUAGGGGCUGACGCCUGUCCGGUGCCAUACGGUUAAGGGGAGAGGUCAACCCAUUUGGGGGCAGCUUUGAACCGAAGCCUUGGUGAACGACGGCUGUAACUAUAACGGUCCUAUGGUAGCGAAAUUCCUCGUCGGAUAAUACCCGGCCUGCACGAAAGGCGUAACGAUCUGAGCGCUGUCUCAACGAGGGACUCGGCGAAAUUGUAGCACCAGCGAAGAUGCUGGUUACCCGCGGAAAGACGGAAAGACCCCGUGGAGCUUUACUGUAGCCUAGUAUUGAAUUUGGCUGCGUCAUGUAGAGGAUAUGUGGGAGGCUUUGAAGCGAGCUCGCUAGGGCUCGUGGAGCCGCCGGUGGAAUACCACAUUUGACGUGGUUGGAAUUCUACCUGAGCCGUAAUCCGGUUUAGGAACAGUAUUAGGUGGGCAGUUUGACUGGGGCGGUCGCCUCCUGAAAGGUAACGGAGGCGUUCAAAGGUUCCCUCAGCGCGAUUGGAAACCGCGCGGCGAGUGCAAACGCACAAGGGAGCUUGACUGCGAGACCUACAAGUCGAGCAGAUGCGAAAGCAGGAGUUAGUGACCCCGCCAUCCCGAGUGGAAGGGUGGCCGAUUAUCGGAUAAAAGUUACCCCGGGGAUAACAGGCUAAUUGCGCCCGCGCGUUCACAGCGACGGCGCAGCUUGGCACCUCGAUGUCGGCUCGUCACAUCCUGGGGCUGAAUUCGGUCCCAAGGGUUGGGCUGCUCGCCCAUUAAAGUGAUACGCGAGCUGGGUUCAGAACGUCGUGAGACAGUUCGGUCCCUAUCUUCCGUGGGCGUUGGAAACUUGAGAGGAGCUGUCCCCAGUACGAGAGGACCGGGAUGGACGGACCUAUGGUGUACCUGUUGUCUCGCCAGAGGCACGUGCAGGGUAGCUACGUUCGGACGGGAUAAGCGCUGAAAGCAUCUAAGCACGAAGCCCCCCUCAAGACUAGGUUUCCUCGAGAUUCGAUCUGCAAGGCCCCUGGUAGACCACCAGGUUGAUAGGCUGGGUGUGUAAAGGCAGUAAUGUCUUAGCUUACCAGUACUAAUAGGCCGAGCGCUUGAUCAC